rnacentral:rRNA from 1 species
GACGUAGGGCGCGAGCGUUGUCCGGAUUUAUUGGGCGUAAAGAGCUCGUAGGCGGCUUGUCGCGUCGAAUGUGAAAACUCGGGGCUCAACUCCGAGCUUGCAUUCGAUACGGGCAGACUAGAGUGUGGUAGGGGAGACUGGAAUUCCUGGUGUAGCGGUGGAAUGCGCAGAUAUCAGGAGGAACACCGAUGGCGAAGGCAGGUCUCUGGGCCACUACUGACGCUGAGAAGCGAAAGCAUGGGGAGCGAACAGG